CCCUUAGAUGUUCUGAGCCGCACGCGCGCUACACUGACUACUUCAACGAGUUGUUUCCUUGAUCGAAAGGUCUGGGUAAUCUUUGAAAGGUAGUCGUGAUGGGGAUAGAUCCUUGCAAUUUUUGAUCUUCAACGAGGAAUUCCUAGUAAACGCAAGUCAUCAGCUUGCAUUGAUUACGUCCCUGCCCUUUGUACACACCGCCCGUCGCACCUACCGAUUGAAUGGUCCGGUGAAUCUUUAGGACUGUGGCUGAGGCCUUGCCUUGUGCGGGUCUGGCCGUGGGAAUUUAGUUAAACCUUACCAUUUAGAGGAAGGUGAAGUCGUAACA
rnacentral:rRNA from 1 species